rnacentral:misc_RNA from 1 species
GAUGAAGAACGUAGCGAAAUGCGAUACUUGGUGUGAAUUGCAGAAUCCCGUGAACCAUCGAGUCUUUGAACGCAAGUUGCGCCCGAAGCCAUUAGGCCGAGGGCACGCCUGCCUGGGCGUCACACGUCGUUGCCCCCCCAUCUACUCCUUCGGGAUUGCGGGGGGCGGAUGAUGGCCUCCCGUGCGCCUCGCCGCGCGGUUGGCAUAAAUGCCAAGUCCUCGGCGACGCACGCCACGACAAUCGGUGGUUGCGAAACCUCGGUUGCCCGUCGUGUGCGGUCGUCGCGCAUCGAGGGCUCGAAAAAAUUGCCGGGUUCCGGCUCGGCUUUCAACGCGACCCCAGGUCAAGCGGGGUUACCCGCUGAAUUUAAGCAUAUCAAUAAGCGAGGA